UAAGCGCCUAGAAAAGACCAGAGCUGUUUCCUGGGUGGGUUACCACCAGCAGGUAGAGACGAGACUGGCCUUCAGGACAGGGGGACAGCCACGCAAGACUGGAGGACAGCCUGGCCUCCUCUCUAAGCAGAAAGAUAAAAUAAAGAAGAGAUUGAGAGCCUGGGGCUCUGGAGCCCCAACACCCCAAGUUCAAGUCCCGGCUCCACUAUUAACUAGCUGGCGACCUUGAGAAAGAUGGCACCUUUCUCUUUCGAAUGGGGACAAUGAUGGUAUCUACCUUAUAGAACUGUUCUGAGGACUAAAUGAGAUCACAGGUGUGGGUGACAAGUGAGCCAGUGUGCUUGACUCUGGGGAAGGAAGUGACAUUUGCCACGUACUUUCCGUGGGCUCUCCGAGCUGAGCUUUUUAGGCCUUUCAGCGAUCCUGCGUGCAGGCUUUCCCCUGGUGUCUCUGUUUGCCAGACGAAUCCCACAUCCACCCCUGUGGAGCCCACCAUCCCCAGCACUCGGUUCAUCGUGGGUGGCCCAGCGUGCAGUGACGGUUAGCCCUACGUAGACCUUAGGGCCGCCUGGGGAGCUGGCAUAGAUACCCACCCUCGGGCCCACCUUGGCCGAAUGAACCAGAGUUUCCGGGAGUGGACCAAACGUGCACACAACUUGUCUGGUGUCACAGGCUCACAGCUGGAGAGGACCUCCGCCUCGGGAUGAGUUGCCAGGCCGCAGAGCCCGGGGUGGUAAGAACGCUCUGGGUUUGCCUCCCAGCCCCCCUUCAUUCACAGCUGGAUGGCACCUCUGUUGAAGCAAGUCUCAUACGGAGAUUGUGUGAAAUGGGCACGCAGAGACCGACUGGGGAAGCUGCUGGUCGCUGAUCAAGUCCCACUGUGUUGUGGGGUCCGAGUUCUGUUGUCAUAUACGGUCUGGCCACUGUCGGCGCAGGCUAGGGUGUCUGGGUUUGUCCUCUUCUGCAUGAUGCGCCUUGACCAUGGUGCGUUGCCUUGUUCUUCUUGGGAUCUCCUACGCAUAGAACUUCACAUUUGGGGCUCACCAAUGCUUGCCGAAUGGUUGGAUAAAAGACAAGGUCCAGCCGCCAAGUUACAGACCACUGAGCUGUUGCAGCCUAGAGGGAACUCGAAGGUUCAUACCUACCUUAUCUCAGUUCAAGCCAACAAAUAUCAGUGAUCACGUGC